GGCGGUGGCGGCGGCCGCGGCGGAACCGGGCGGGCGGCGCGGCCAUGGAAGCGCCCUCCGUGCCCUCGGUACCGGACGCCUCGGCGUCCGGGCGGGGGCCCAUCAAGGGCAUCCUGAAGAAGAGCGGUAGCAAGGCAUCRCCAGGAGCGGCCGUUGGGGCGCGACAAACCAGCCAGGCCUGCGAAGAGGACGAGCACGGUAAAAAAUCACAGAAAUGGGAUGAAAUGAACAUCAUAGCUACAUACCACCCUGCGGGCAAAGAUUAUGGCUUGAUGAAAAUUGAUGAGCCAAGUACUCCUUACCACAGCAUGAUAGGAGAAGAUGAUGAGGAUGCAGUGAGUGAUUCAGAAUACGAGCCCUUAAGAGCAGAUGUGUUGAGUAAAAAACUGGCUGCUGCAGCUGAAGGUAGAGGACCCAGGAUUAUAGCAAGGCAAGAAGAAAGUAGUGAGGAGGAGGAAGAYGAUGAAGAAUUAACACCUGAAGAACGGGAGAAAAAGAAACAGUUUGAAAUGAAGAGAAAAAUGCACUACAAUGAAGGAAGAAACAUCAAACUGGCAAGGCAGCUCAUUGCAAAAGAACUCCAAGGUGAGGAAGAGGAAGAUGAUGAGGAUGAAGAGAUGCGUGAUGCUGCAGAUGUAGAAACAAUGAAUACAGAAGCUACCGAAAACGGGGAAAGGAGGGCUCCAGGAGCCAAACGUAUGACCCUUCUGCAUGGCCUGAAGCUGCCAUCUCUCUGCACUCUGCUGUAAAACAGAGGCAACUCCGCUCCCCAGCUGCAUUCGCCAGUGGAAAGAAGGCAGACCUUUGCAGCAUUUUUCCAUCUCUAUUGUUGAAGUCCAUUCCACCUUCCUCAUAACCAGCUUCAGAGCCACAACUGACUGAGAUCUCUUGCUGAUUGAAACGAAGAUGGCCAGUCCAGUCAGUGAUGCACAUGUUACUCGUGACCAGCUGGAAAAUAGAGCACACAGCAUAGAAGAAAUCUGUCCAGAACUGUAACUGCUUGUCAAAAACACAAAUAUAAACAUCGCUUCAUGAUUUUUGCGACUAAGGCUCUUAAAUAUUAAGAAGCAUAUCAGUUACAAUGUUGUAUUGCCAAGAAUGUUAAUUUUAGACUUGUCGAUUAGGCAGAMAAUACUGUCUAAUUGAUUUAUUCUUGUGCCUAGUAUUUAAUGGAGAAUACUGCUUCAUAAUCUGUUCAACCAGAAUGGCAUUCCCUGUAUGUAUAGCGCUGAUUAUCUUGCGUGAUGUACUGUUACUUUUGCUUUGAAACACUCACUAUCUUUUGGUUUAUCACUAUUUAUUUGAGUGUUCUACAUGUGGUGUCUCAUAUGGAAAGUUUUGGGAUUCAAGAGCCAAACGGUACAGCAUAUAUCAGAUUGACAUGCAAGCUAUUUAUCAGAUGUGUUAAGCAGUUUAAAAAGGGAUUAUUUAAGUCCUGCAACUUUUUUUUUGUAAAGUGUUGACCUGUUAAUCUAGAUUUCAGUAUGUUUUUACCUGCACUUUCCCAGUCUUUAGAACAAGAGCUGUGUUAUUUUUGAAGAGCGGUGUUUGGAAUCGGUUGUUAGUCUCCGACUAAAGCAGUACAACAUCUGGUGGAGUUUUUACACUGGAAACAGCUAACUUGAACUUUGCAUUUAACUGUCUUAACCUCUUCCAUCAGGACUGGUUGUUUUGUGGAGCUCUCUUUAGCUUGUUGUGAGAAYGUGCAAGUUUCCUCCAGCUUUUCUCUUAAAAUCACUGUUACUCUUCUGGCUCUAGUUUCAAACGUUUGGUUCUUUCCAGUUGCAUGAACAGUGUUUGUGCUGUUAGCACCUGAGGAAAAACACCCAGCCACGAGGAAAUACACAUCAGGACUGUGAAGAUGUGCUGAGCUUAGGCUCUGGCUGUUCUUUAUUAAAAAUAACUGAUGUUGAUGUA